rnacentral:lncRNA from 1 species
GCAUCUGUAAUCUGUUGCGGCUGAGGCGACGAGUUUAUUUCAUUGUGAAAUCUGCGAAACAAACCAAAAGAACAAGUAAGCAAUCCACAAUGCGGGCCCUGUUGGUGAUUUUGCUAAUUGCGGGUAUUGCAGCUUUCUCGGGAUCGGUUCGUUACCCUCCAGCUGACAAUGGAAAGUGCCCCGGUGAUCUGGUGAUCCUGAAAGACCAAUCAAAAUGUGCCUGGAAGUGCCCGACCACGUGCACGUCACAUGACCCUCCGCCGUGCGUCAGGCUGUGCUGGAAAGGCUGCGUGUGUCCCAAGGAUAAACCGAUCCUACUGUCACCUGAUCCCUGGACAUGUGGAACCAGGGCGGAUUGCAAUGCUGCCUAGACAACCGAGCCAUGGUGCAUAAAUAUGCGUCAGAAGAUUUUGAAAAUAGAAAAGAGGAAGAAAUAAAAUCUAACUUGAUUGAAAAUUAUGAAAUCCAUUCAGAAUUGUUUUUUAAACUACUAUUUGUGUAUUCCCUAAAAAAACUUUCUGCUUUUUUCAUUUUAUACAU